CCGUCAAUUCAUUUGAGUUUCACUCUUGCGAGCGUACUCCCCAGGCGGAGUGCUUAAUGCGUUAGCUGCGGCACUGAGGUUUGACCCCCAACACCUAGCACUCAUCGUUUACGGUGUGGACUACCAGGGUAUCUAAUCCUGUUUGCUCCCCACACUUUCGUGCCUCAGCGUCAGUUACAGUCCAGAAAGUCGCCUUCGCCACUGGUGUUCCUCCUAAUAUCUACGCAUUUCACCGCUACACUAGGAAUUCCACUUUCCUCUCCUGCACUCAAGUCCUACAGUUUCAAAGGCUUACUACGGUUGAGCCGUAGCCUUUCACCCCUGACUUGUAAGACCGCCUACGCACCCUUUACGCCCAGUGAUUCCGGAUAACGCUUGCCCCCUACGUAUUACCGCGGCG
rnacentral:misc_RNA from 1 species